AGAAAGUGAUGCCAGAUUUAAAAAUAAAAUAAGAAGAAUUUGAUAAAAACGAAAAUAGAAAAAAUUAAAAAAAAAAGAUUGAAAACGCAUAGGAAAACAUUACUUAAAACUAGGGACUAUAGAGAGGGGGGUUUUCCACCCUAACAAAGCAAAACAAAUGCAUGAGUUGUUCUUAUUUUUUUGGGUUUGAUUUUUUUUAAUUAGAAAAAUAAAUCUGUGAAAUAUAGAAACAGAAAAAGUUACGUGACGUGUGUUAUCACUAAGACAAUCAGUUGAUUGGUGUAUGUGUAACGGAGACAAGAGUUUUAAAGUGAAAUAUACAUUGAUUUUUGUGUUUUAAAAGUGUGCAAAAAAAAUUUACACAAAAAAUCCAAAUCUUUAGCAAUUUGGAUUUUGGUGUGAAAAUCUGUGUUGCAAAGCAAUAA